UCUUGAGUACCAAUUUAUAUGCUUUUUAUUUCUUUUUCUUGAGUGAUUGCUGCACCUAGAACUUCCAGUAAUAUGUUGUAGAAAAGUGGUGAGAGUGGACAUCCUUGUCUUGUUCUGAUCUUAGAGGAAAACCUUUUAGGUUUUCACCAUUGAGAAUGAUGUCCUCUGUGGGUCUUUCAUAUAUGGCCUUUAU